rnacentral:rRNA from 1 species
AGGGCAAGUCUGGUGCCAGCAGCCGCGGUAAUUCCAGCUCCAAUAGCGUAUAUUAAAGUUGUUGCAGUUAAAAAGCUCGUAGUUGAAUUUCGGGGUUCUACCGUUGGUCGGGCUUUGUCUGUACUGGUGUGUAGAAUUUCUACCUUCUGGGGAACCAUCAUGCUAUUAAUUUAGCGUGGUGGGAAACCAGGACCUUUACCUUGAAAAAAUUAGUGUGUUCAAAGCAGGCUUAUGUCUGAAUACAUUAGCGUGGAAUAAUAGAAUAGGACGGUGGUCCUGUUUUGUUGGUUUCUGAAUCACCGUAAUGAUUAAUAGGGAUAGUUGGGGGCAUUAGUAUUCAAUUGUCAGAGGUGAAAUUCUUGGAUUUAUUGAAGACUAACUUCUGCGAAAGCAUUUGCCAAGGAUGUUUUCAUUAAUCAAGAACGAAAGUUAGGGGAUCGAAGACGAUCAGAUACCGUCGUAGUCUUAACCAUAAACUAUGCCGACUAGGGAUCGGAUGAUGUUAAUUUUUUAAUGACUCAUUCGGCGCCUUACGGGAAAC